rnacentral:rRNA from 1 species
GUAGCAAGGUUAACCGAAUAGGGGAGCCGAAGGGAAACCGAGUCUUAACUGGGCGUUAAGUUGCAGGGUAUAGACCCGAAACCCGGUGAUCUAGCCAUGGGCAGGUUGAAGGUUGGGUAACACUAACUGGAGGACCGAACCGACUAAUGUUGAAAAAUUAGCGGAUGACUUGUGGCUGGGGGUGAAAGGCCAAUCAAACCGGGAGAUAGCUGGUUCUCCCCGAAAGCUAUUUAGGUAGCGCCUCGUGAAUUCAUCUCCGGGGGUAGAGCACUGUUUCGGCAAGGGGGUCAUCCCGACUUACCAACCCGAUGCAAACUGCGAAUACCGGAGAAUGUUAUCACGGGAGACACACGGCGGGUGCUAACGUCCGUCGUGAAGAGGGAAACAACCCAGACCGCCAGCUAAGGUCCCAAAGUCAUGGUUAAGUGGGAAACGAUGUGGGAAGGCCCAGACAGCCAGGAUGUUGGCUUAGAAGCAGCCAUCAUUUAAAGAAAGCGUAAUAGCUCACUGGUCGAGUCGGCCUGCGCGGAAGAUGUAACGGGGCUAAACCAUGCACCGAAGCUGCGGCAGCGACGCUUAUGCGUUGUUGGGUAGGGGAGCGUUCUGUAAGCCUGUGAAGGUGUGCUGUGAGGCAUGCUGGAGGUAUCAGAAGUGCGAAUGCUGACAUAAGUAACGAUAAAGCGGGUGAAAAGCCCGCUCGCCGGAAGACCAAGGGUUCCUGUCCAACGUUAAUCGGGGCAGGGUGAGUCGACCCCUAAGGCGAGGCCGAAAGGCGUAGUCGAUGGGAAACAGGUUAAUAUUCCUGUACUUGGUGUUACUGCGAAGGGGGGACGGAGAAGGCUAUGUUGGCCGGGCGACGGUUGUCCCGGUUUAAGCGUGUAGGCUGGUUUUCCAGGCAAAUCCGGAAAAUCAAGGCUGAGGCGUGAUGACGAGGCACUACGGUG